rnacentral:rRNA from 1 species
AGUGAACGCUGGCGGUAGGCCUAACACAUGCAAGUCGAACGGCAGCACAGUAAGAGCUUGCUCUUACGGGUGGCGAGUGGCGGACGGGUGAGGAAUACAUCGGAAUCUACUUUUUCGUGGGGGAUAACGUAGGGAAACUUACGCUAAUACCGCAUACGACCUACGGGUGAAAGCAGGGGAUCUUCGGACCUUGCGCGAUUGAAUGAGCCGAUGUCGGAUUAGCUAGUUGGCGGGGUAAAGGCCCACCAAGGCGACGAUCCGUAGCUGGUCUGAGAGGAUGAUCAGCCACACUGGAACUGAGACACGGUCCAGACUCCUACGGGAGGCAGCAGUGGGGAAUAUUGGACAAUGGGCGCAAGCCUGAUUCAGCCAUACCGCGUGGGUGAAGAAGGCCUUCGGGUUGUAAAGCCCUUUUGUCGGGAAAGAAAAGCAGCAGGUUAAUACCCCGCUGUUCUGACGGUACCCAAAGAAUAAGCACCGGCUAACUUCGUG